rnacentral:lncRNA from 1 species
CCCUGCAGCCUGCAGCAGGGCUGCUGUCGCCCCAUCACCUGCUGCCCCAGCUCUUGCACAGCUGUGGUCUGCAGACCCUGCUGCUGGGCCUCCACCUGCUGCCAGCCCAUCUCAGUGCAGGCUCCCUGUUGCAGGCCCCCCUGCUGCCAGCCUGCUCCCUGUCGCACCACCUGCAGGACCUCCCCCUGCAACACCUGCUGCUGAGCCCUCUAAUAGGCAACUUUUCCAGGUGAUGGAGCAGAAGAGAGACACCACCUUUGCAACCCAUCUGUUCUUCCACAAGUCACACAACUAUAAAGACCUAUCAAACUCCCCACACGUAUAUGCAGCUGGUCAUCUGCAUAGCUCUAGACAUAUCCUAGCUCCCACCAGCAGAAUUCUCGAAGAUCAAUCCUAUUGAGUCACUGUAAUUUUUUUUUUAAUUUCAAGGUUCACAUAGGAACUAUUUUCAGCAUGGUGUUUUUCUGCUGUGGUUUUGCAUGAUAAAAAAUAAAAUUCUAUUUCUGGCAAAGCA